UGAAGAUCUAGAUGUCAAAAAUAACAUCUUAUUCGAUUUCAUCUGGUCUGGAAUGCACUUUUGUAUUAAUGCUUCAAAAGAGGAUGGAACACUUGGACGUCUUGCAAAUGAUAAUCACAGGAAUCCAAACUGCAGAGUGAAAAAAAUCGUUGUCAAGGGAACCCCACACUUGUGCCUAUUUGCUGUAACGGAAAUAUUCCCAGAGGAGGAGAUAACUUACAACUAUGGGGAUUCUGCUUGGCCCUGGCGCUUAAAGGCUCCCCGGGAAGUAGCUUCUAACCCUGAGCCCGAGAGAGAUCCUCCGUU